UAUAUGUCUUACAGAAAACGAUCCUGAAUUGUAGACAAUGCUGGAAUUAGAAGAUUCUUCAAAAAUCGAUCUACUUUCCAUAUUCGUUAAAAAGAUUAGUAGGAGGAUUGUAUACGCAGUUAUGCAAUGGUGCAUUUUUAAGUUUCUUCAGAAUAUGGCUAUAUAACAAAGGUUAACCAUGUGUUCCAAUUUAAGGAAUUUGAUAGAUAUGUCUGCCAAAGAAAAAAUGAAGAAAAAGAAGUUUAAAAACGGAAACAUCACAACAACAAUGGAAAAGUUUGGGAAAGGAACAUCAAAACAGGUGAGGUUAAAAAAACAUCUGGUGAAGAAAGACCAAAACUGAGAAUAGAAUAAGAAGUUUGCAAAAGUUGCAUCAAUGCUUAAAAGAAAUGAAUUAGAAAGUGAAGCGUGAAUCUAUGGAAAGAUAAAUUAGGUAGUAAAGGUGUCUGGAACUGGAUGCAGAUUUUUUGGGCUCCUUGCACAAUGUGCUUAUCCAAAGUUUAAAAGUUCGAAGACCCAGAGAUCACUGGAAACUCAUUUAUCGAAAUAUAUCACCAGUGGGUAGAUCAAACUUGUUGAAAUAAGUUUGACUAAUCAUUAGGAUCUUCCCUUGUAUUACGCUUUUUCCUAACUCAUCAUAAUGUAAAAAUUAAAGUUCAAGGUAAUGGUAUCUUUCUUGAGGAGUAACAUACCUUGUGUAUUACUUGUUAAAUCUUUAUUUAAGGAGAAGGAUGUAUAUAACUAAACUUGUUGCUGUUUCUUUAUUUUAAUGAUAUGCACAAUACCCAGGAUAUUACAAAUCGGUUCAUGACGCAACCGCAUAAUGUAUAAAUAAAUACCUCGGAUGUUGUAAUAUCAUUGCUAGUGUUCGUAUUAUUGUUUACUACGUCAAGUUGCGGUGUGCUAUCUUGUUUACUUUUUAAAGAUGUUGUAAGUUCUUAGGGAACUCUGUGCUUCUGCACGUAUCUGUUCUUUUCCUUCGCACUCAUUUGUAAACAGUCAUCUUCAUAUUUAGUUCGAAAUAAAUUAUUCUUGAAACUGCAA